rnacentral:misc_RNA from 1 species
GGGACUUCGGGGCCACCUAAUGGUUGAACUCGGUGAUCUUGAUAAUGAGGUCCUUGUGAAACUUGUUGGUGGAAAUCUUGUUGAAACUGUGGUAGCUCAUGAUGUAAUUGGAAGCUUAAUGAUUCAAUGUGCUAGACAGCCAGGUCUUGCGCAGAUAUGGGAAGACAUCCUUGGAUUUGAGAAUUGUGAGUUCUACAUCAACAAAUGACCACAGUUGCAUCGCGUGCAAUUUGAAGAAGUCCUAAU